ACCUGUAACACCAAAAUAAAUAUUUAAUAACAAUAAGUGACAUCAAAAAAUAAAGCACAAUAAAUACCAUAACAUUCCUAACAUCAUAAUAAUCUUGAUUAUUAAACAUGAACAUCUGCAAGGAGUAAGAAUAUAACAAAAUCCUGAGCAAACAAUAACGUCAACCAGCUCAGUCAGUGCAGACAGAAACUCAGAAAGGAACAUACCUCACCACUCGGGACAGUGCCCAUUAUUAUAAAUGAACGGAAACACAAGUGUGUCAAUGGAAGCCUAAACAUGUACAAACGAUUCCCAGCAGAAAAGAAACCCUCAUUACGUUUUCCAUACUCAAACACACGAAAUGAGGCAAUACAAGCCCAACCACUAAAUAAAUCAAAUUAAAUCAAAACCCCAGCAAACAACUGUUGCAACGCUUCUGACACACACGUUGCAACAAGGGGGUCCCUUUCCCUCAACGGCCAGUAUAAGAAUCCAAACAUAAUUUAAAAUGUGCCACCUAAACAGAAUUUCACCACCUUCCUCCUCAGCCUCCAGUAAACGAAAAGACUCCUUUCCAAGCUUCAACGUACCUACCUACCUACCACUUGGCGGUACAGCCCUGGGUGAGCCUUGGCGUCCUCUACAACCACUCUCCAUAGCCAAUGCGUUGCCAUAAGAAUGGGCCCAUGCAUGAUGACCCGAGGUUGGUUGUUAAUUAUCUGAACCAAAUUCUUUUACAGGAUGAGGUUGUUAGCCUCAUGCUCCCCCUCCAACCUAGAGGACCAGGGACUACACCCGCAACAUACGUGAAAAGUUUUGCAUAAAUAUCUGGAGGAAGGGGGAGUCACAUGGUACAUGGGAAUAAUAGGAUUACAUAAUCAAGGAAGUAACAGCAUGGACGCCUCAGGGGAGGGGGGUAGAUGCAGGAUACUGGGCACUGCUUCGAGCCUUCAGGCAGAAUGUGGCUCAAACCCUUACAAUUUAACAUAUUAUAAAUGAGUUGAGUCUUAGUGAACAUGAGAACUGCUCAACUGGGAUAUCAGCAUGACUGCACCAGUAAUGUUUCUUUGCUUAUAUGAAUGUUUCUGUGUUUACAGUUAGUCACAAGACCAGGGAGCAAUGCCUCUACAGAGACACAGACAGAUGUAAAUAUGGAUGAUCUUGAUGCUGAUGGUCUACAGCUUAUCACAGCAAGAGAUGAAGUACUGAGAUUAAGGAAUGAACUCAUGGAGAAGGAUGAGCUCAUAACUGAGUAUGAGAGUGAACUGCAUUCCCAGAGAGAGCAGGCAAAGAAAGAUACUCAGCGG